ACAUAGUACAUAUAUUCAAUAAAAUUAUUUAUAAAUAUUAAAAAAAUAAAUAUUUUUUCAUUAUGAAAAAUUAAAAACAAAAUGGCAUGUGACAUGUGCUUUACUUGAACAAGAGCAUCAGAUUAAUGAUGCAUCAGAUGACUUCAUGAUCUGAAGAGCAUCGGACCUAAUCCUUUUUUUUUUCCCUUGAAGGGAAUCGGACCAUCAUUGAUGGUCCAAUGGUCAUCGGACCCAAUUCUUUGUCGAGGGAAUGAAGUCGUGGAUGGUGUAUGGCGCUGAGACGGCGUCAUGUGAAUGGACAAAUUCUUAGAUAUCAACACUUCCAUCCUUUCUGCCACACGUCAUCGCCACCAGCAGUGAACGAGCGGAGCUAGUGGGGCUCGUACAAAAGAGAACAUGAGAGGCUGUACGGAUGGAAGCUCCCCAGAGCAACUACUGUGGCUGCAUAGUGUCCUCUGAUCAACUCGAGAUGGGGUCCCCUGAUCAGCUCGAAAAGAGCAGCAGCGGCAGCAAUAAUAAAAUAUAUGAUCAUGGAAG
rnacentral:lncRNA from 1 species